rnacentral:lncRNA from 1 species
GUUAGAAAGAGGUUGAGUGCUAGAGAAUCUUAUGGCUGCAAAAUGAGUAAGCAGAGACUUCAACCACUGUCUUCUGACUCACAGCCCAAGGGAAAGACCAGGCAAGAGUAGGGGUGAAGAAAUCUCAUGUAGAAGCCCAGAACUUUCAAGAGAUAAGAAGUAGAGAGAUUCUGGUUUAAAGAGAGAUGACAGAAGCCCUGAAUGUCCUCUCUUCUGCUCCCCCAGAUACCUUCAUGGACUACAGGGCUGUACAUACGGUUAGACUCCUUGACCUCAAUGUGAAUGUCUAAAGACUCCAAGCAUCCUAACUCCAAUUAGAAAUCCAGCAGCAAUGUAUUACCAUGCAGUUGUCUAAAACCUUAAAAAAAAAAGCUAUUUAAAUUGUCCAUCUUUUCA